UAAUAGUGUAUACUAAAGUUGUUGCGGUUGAAAAGCUCGUAGUUGGAUCUAGGGCGCUGGUCGAUGGUCCGCCGCAAGGUGUGUACUGUCGAUCGGAGUCUUACCUCUGGUUCUCUGUAGGUGCUCUUAACUGAGUGUCUGCGGUGGCCAGGAAAUUUACUUUGAAAAAAUUAGAGUGUUCAAAGCAGGCGUCGGCUUGAAUACAUUAGCAUGGAAUAAUGGAAUAGGACUUUGGUUCUAUUUUGUUGGUUUCUAGGACCGAAGUAAUGAUUAAUAGGGACAGUUGGGGGCAUUAGUAUUUAAUUGUCAGAGGUGAAAUUCUUGGAUUUAUGAAAGACUAACUACUGCGAAAGCAUUUGCCAAGGAUGUUUUCAUUAAUCAAGAACGAAAGUUAGGGGAUCGAAGACGAUCAGAU
rnacentral:rRNA from 1 species